rnacentral:misc_RNA from 1 species
AGCAGCCGCGGUAAUUCCAGCUCCAAUAGCGUAUAUUAAAGUUGUUGCAGUUAAAAAGCUCGUAGUUGAAUUUCGGGAUCAAUAUGUUGGUCGUGCCUUGGUACGUACUGGCAUUAUUGGUUUCUACCUUCUGAAGAACCUCGAUGUCAUUAAUUUGGUGUCUUGGGGAAUCAGGACUGUUACUUUGAAAAAAUUAGAGUGUUUAAAGCAGGCUCGCGCUUGAAUACAUUAGCAUGGAAUAAUGAAAUAGGACGUUUGAUUCUAUUUUGUUGGUUUCUAGGAUCGACGUAAUGAUUAAUAGGGAUAGUUGGGGGCAUUAGUAUUCAAUUGUCAGAGGUGAAAUUCCUGGAUUUAUUGAAGACUAACUACUGCGAAAGCAUUUGCCAAGGAUGUUUUCAUUAAUCAAGAACGAAAGUUAGGGGAUCGAAGACGAUCAGAUACCGUCGUAGUCUUAACCAUAAACUAUGCCGACUAGGGAUCGGAUGAUGUUAAUUUUUUAAUGACUCAUUCGGCGCCUUAC